rnacentral:rRNA from 1 species
UGUAGUCAUAAGCUUGUCUCAAAGGUUAAUGCAUUCAUGUUUAAGUAUAAAAGUUUUACUGUGAAACUGCGAAUAGCUCAUUAUAUCAGUUAUAGUUUCUUUGGCAGUCGAUCUUUAUACUUGGAUAACCGUAGUAAUUUUAGAGCUAAUUCAUGCGUCAAGGCCUGUUUGGGUUACAAUAGACCGGCCGUAUUUAUUAGAUCAAAACCAGUGCAAGUGUUAGUAAUCCUUGCGGCUGCUUGCAUUUGCUUCCUUGGUGAGUCAUAAUAAAUGAGCGGAUCCCUUUGUUCAUCAGGGCGACAGACCAUUCAAGUUUCUGCCCUAUCAGCUUGACAAUAAG